GGGAUUGUAGUUCAGGGGUAGAACGUUUCUUUCGCACUCCCAAAAUCUCCAUUCGGGGAUUUGAGUCGAAACUUCUGUGACUAGAAAAGGUCCCCGGUUCAAAUCCGGGCAAUUCCA
rfam:Arthrobotrys oligospora ATCC 24927 unplaced genomic scaffold scaffold00083, whole genome shotgun sequence.